AUUGAACGCUGGCGGCAGGCCUAAAACAUGCAAGUCGAACGAUUGGCGGAAGGGUGCGUAUUGUCUGGGAAACUGUCCGAUGGCGGGGGAUAACUACUGGAAACGGUAGCUAAUACCGCAUACCAUCGGAUGUGCCCAGAUGGGAUUAGCUAGUAGGUGGGGUAACGGCUCACCUAGGAGACGAUCCCUAGCCGGUGUGAGAGGAUGACCGGCCACACGUGAACUGAGACACGGUCCAGACGCCUACGGGGGGCAGCGGUGGGGAAGAUGGCAAGAGGGGCGGAAGCCGGGUGCAGCCAUGCCGGUUGUAUGAAGAAGGCCUUCGGGUUGUAAAGUACUUUCAGCGAGGAGGCGUUACUCGCAGAGGAAGCACCGGCUAACUCCGUGCCAGCAGCCGCGGUAAUAC
rnacentral:rRNA from 1 species